rnacentral:rRNA from 1 species
GGACUACACGGGUAUCUAAUCCCGUUCGCUCCCCUAGCUUUCGCACCUGAGCGUCAGGUACUUCCCAGGACACUGCCUACGCCUUUGGUGUUCCUCCGGAUAUCUACGCAUUUCACCACUCCACCCGGAAUUCCGUGUCCCUCUGAAGCCCUCAAGUCGGGCAGUUUUCGAAGCACUUCACCAGUUAAGCCGGUGACUGUCACUCCAAACUUACCAGACCGCCUGCGUGCGCUUUACGCCCAGUAACUCCGGACAACGCUUGCCCCCUACGUAUUACCGCGGCGGCUGGCAC